UUUGCAUAUCAAUAAGCGGAGGAAAAGAAACCAACAGGGAUUGCCCCAGUAACGGCGAGUGAAGCGGCAAAAGCUCAAAUUUGAAAUCCUGCGGGAAUUGUAAUUUGAAGGUUUCGUGGUCUGAGUCGGCCGCGCCCAAGUCCAUUGGAACAUGGCGCCUGGGAGGGUGAGAGCCCCGUCCGGCGCACGCCGACUCUUUGCACCGCGGCUCCGACGAGUCGAGUUGUUUGGGAAUGCAGCUCUAAGUGGGUGGUAAAUUCCAUCUAAAGCUAAAUAUUGGCGAGAGACCGAUAGCGAACAAGUACAGUGAUGGAAAGAUGAAAAGCACUUUGAAAAGAGAGUGAAACAGCACGUGAAAUUGUUGAAAGGGAAGGGCUUGCAAGCAGACACGGUUUUACCGGGCCAGCGUCGAAAAGGGGGGAGGAACAAGAACUCGAGAAUGUGGCGCGCACCUUCGGGUGCGCGUGUUAUAGCUCGUGUUGACGCCUCCAUCCUUUUUCGAGGCCUGCGAUUCUAGGACGCUGGCGUAAUGGUUGCAAGCCGCCCGUCUUGAAACACGGACCC
rnacentral:sRNA from 1 species